rnacentral:rRNA from 1 species
UACGGAGGAUGCGAGCGUUAUCCGGAUUUAUUGGGUUUAAAGGGUGCGUAGGCGGGUUAUCAAGUCAGCGGUAAAAUCGUGGAGCUCAACUCCAUCCAGCCGUUGAAACUGAUGAUCUUGAGCGGGCGAGAAGUAUGCGGAAUGCGUGGUGUAGCGGUGAAAUGCAUAGAUAUCACGCAGAACUCCGAUUGCGAAGGCAGCAUACCGGCGCCCGACUGACGCUGAAGCACGAAAGCGUGGGUAUCGAACAGG